UCACAUUUUGGCCUUAACAUUACAAGUAUUCAUCUUCUCCUCAAAAACCCCUCCUCCUUCUUCUAUUUCCUUGUGAUUCUCUGUAAUCUUGGGGUAGUAAUGCAAUGUUCGAUUCCUGUGAAGCCUUGAAACAACUUCCUCCCUCUCCUUGCGACAGAACCGGGCAGCCAUCAAACCCCACCUUCUUCCUCUUCUUCCAUCUAUUAUUCAUCUUCUUCAUUUGCCCCUUUUUCCCAAAACCCUUACAUUUUCGAAAACCCCAAUCAUCUUUCCUUUCAUUCUUGAUUUCGAAGCAAAUUAGCAACCAAAAACAUCAUCUCAUUCUGUCUCGGUUUUGAAUUGUAGUUAAACCCAUUUUCUCUCAUCUUUUCUGAAUUUCGAGAGUGCUUUUGGCAAAUACAAGAACCAUUAUCUAAUUUCUUGGGUUGAUUUCUUUGGUGUACGACUAUGUCAGUGAAGGUGCAAGUUGAGGCAACAUCUCAAGGCUAAAUUCUUGCAGUCUCUCUUUCUGGAAAAUUUCGAAAGAACCAAAUAUUAACAUUUCCUUCAGUUUCCUAUGAUUUCUCAAGGUGUCACUGGUUUCGAAGUGGAAACGAUUUCUCUGCGCGCUCUUUCUAGUUGAUAGCUGCAAAUCGAUCACGGCUCUUUGAAGCGUCUUGUUGUUUGAUUACAGAUCAGAACCGGUCAGGAACGAUGGGUUAGCGGUGUUGGAUAGCGUUCCAAGGAUGUAUAUUGUGCUGAGCACGUAGGAAUUUGUAGAUUUGUAUUAGGAUUUUGGAUAAAUGUAUAUUAGAUUUGGUUGUGUUGGUUAUAUUCGACUUGUAGAGUAUUGUAUGAUUGUCUUGUGUUUUAGUUAGAUGUUUGUUUUGAAAUUUAGCUGAGUUGUUCACGUUAAAGAGCUGGUGACCCCUUUGCUCAAGUUUUGGAAGUAUGAUUUCAAUUUCUUGGGAAAUGAACCCUGUGAUGAUCCUGUUUACUCAGUCAACGGUAAGUCGGGUUGUUACAUUAUUGGCCUUUAGUGAAGAACAAGGAUUACCUGGCAUGAUUGGUAGUGUUGAUUGCAUGCAUUGGGAGUGGAAGAAUUGCCCAGCAGCAUGGAAAGGGCAAUAUCACGGCCGAGCUGGUGUUACAACAUUAAUUCUUGAAGCUGUCGCUGAUCAUGACUUAUGGAUAUGGCAUGCCUUUUUUGGGAUGCCAGGUUCAUAUAAUGAUCUCAACGUGCUACAUCGAUCACCUCUUUUAGUUGAUUUGUUUGAAGGAAGGGCACCACCUGUCAAUUUAACGGUGGAUGGAAAUCAAUACGGCAUGGCUUACUAUCUCACUGAUGGCAUUUAUCCUAAAUGGGCUACUUUUAUUCAGUCUAUUACUGAACCGUAAACAGCAAAAGCAAGGUUAUUUGCCCAACAUCAAGAACUAGCAGGAAAGGAUGUGGAGCGAGCAUUUGGGGUGUUGCAAGCUCGAUUUGCAAUAAUUAGAAAGCCCACACUUGUUUGGGAUGAAGAACGACUCUGAUAUAAUUACUUCUUGUGCAAUUAUGCAUAAUAUGAUAGUGAAAGAUGAAAGAGAUACAUAUACACACUAUGUUGAUGGUAGAGAGUUCAUGGGAGAUCGCCCGAAAGGUCAAUCGGAAGGUACAAGUGGAUUAAAUGAUGACUUUGAGUUUUACACAGAUAGAAUUGUUGAUAUCAACCGAUACUUGGCAAAUAAGGAUGAUGUUGAAGAUCGACAAACACAUUUAUCCUUAAAAGAUGACUUGAUUGAAAAUAUCUGGCAAAAGUUUGGAGAGAAUCGCAAUUAAUGUAUCAUUUAAAAUUUUAGUUUUUUAAUUUGUGUAUUUAUUUUAUCUAUGCGCAUUGUAAUCUUUAUUUGAAGUUAACGAAUUUUCCUUAAUUAUUA